UGCAACCACAACCAAUUUGAAACAGCAGUUCCCGUACAAUUACCAAAGUUAAGCAACGUAGAGCCUGGUCAGUACCUAGAUGGGUGACCUCUUGGGGUUACUAGGUGCUGUAA